AUUGAACGCUGGCGGCAGGCCUAACACAUGCAAGUCGAACGAGUGGCGGACGGGUGAGUAAUGUCUGGGAAACUGCCUGAUGGUGGGGGAUAACUACUGGAAACGGUAGCUAAUACCGCAUACCAUCAGAUGUGCCCAGUUGGGAUUAGCUUGGUGGUGGGGUAACGACUCAACAAGGCGACGAUCCCUAGCUGGUCUGAGAGGAUGACCAGCCACACGGGAACUGAGACACGGUCCAGACUCCUACGGGAUGCAGCAGUGGGGAAUAUGGGACAAUGGGCGGAAGCCGUAUGCAGCCAUGCCGCGUGUAUUAAGAAGGCCUUCGGGGUGUAAAGUACGUUCAGCGGUGAGGCGUUACCCGCAGAAGAAGCACCGGCUAACUCCGUGCCAGCAGCCGCGGUAAUAC
rnacentral:rRNA from 1 species